UUUGAAAAAUACAUAUCUUUAUUCAUCUGUGCAUUCCUCUGUACAAAAAGGAACAGGCUCAUGUCUGUUUGUAGUAUAGGCAUUCAUAAUACUGUACAUACUUUAACAAUAUACAUUUUACAGUUACUGUACAUGACACUAAAAUUCUUUAUUAAAAGGGCAUCAACUUAAAUACCAAAUCUGAGUAAGUAACAACAUACAGUUCAUUUUGGUUGAUAUGAGACACUGUCUGGUAAUAGUUUUAAAGGAUGACACGUUUUUUCCAACACAUUUUCCAUUUGAUGAGAACGAGGGGCAUCACUGCUACAAGGCCUGCCUUCAAAAAACAACAGGCUGGCAGGAACCCAAAGGUGCAGCUCCGCCUAAUAACAAGAUACUGUGUUGCCUCUACUGCUAACUGAUCCGUUUCCUUCUGGUAUUCAUCUCGGAGUAUAAAAGGGCACCCUAUUCCCUUUAUAGAAGAUGAAAUAAUGCACAGCAGAGGAUAAAGGGGUGACAUUUCGGUUUCCCAAUUCGAGAGAGACACUUUAGACUACCGAACAGCUUCCUUUAGUUGAUACAGUGCCACCAGGCUUUCUCUAAAGGCCAGGGUUGACGGAGGGUUUGCUGUGUAGCCCUGCCCCGGGUCCAGUCAUGUUUAAGCUACCGGAAUAAGAUGCCCUUUUAAUUCUUCAUGUUUAACCUCGCUCCCUCCAAGGGACCAGACGAGAGAUGCCUUCCUCUUAACGGAACUGAGCCCUGCUGUGUGACUGUGGGUGCGUGCCCAGCAGUGGUCAGCCUCCGGACCGAUCUCUCCCUCUCUCUCGUCGUGGUCUCAGCCUCAUCGCCCUCACUUCUCUCCGCCUCUCCCCUUCUCGUUCUGUCGGCUCACAUCUCUGUCGGGGCCGAUAAAGUAGGGACAGGUCAGCAGCAGGUUAACGGAAAAAGCCAACACCACACAGACACAAACUCCCCGUCAUUAGCAUUCAGGACCACGGCGCAGAGGCCCAGAGCAGUUUUGAUUCAUGGGGAACAGCAGUUCUCUGUGUGUCUGGCCCACUGAUAGCACAGUGUGUGCGCGCGUAGGCGUAUGUGUGUGUGUGUGUAAGAGAAUGAAUGUCUCCCUCUCUGUGUGUUAACUGAAACAGUACAGCCUCUCUACUGAUAGUGCUAACACGGCCAUUAUCACUGGAGGGCGUGUAGAUAGCCCACCUGAGCCCUGUAGACAUGGCAUUUACACCCAAGAGGAGCUCUGAGAUUAGGCAGGAUACUGCCGGGAUGAGACACACAGACAGUCCCAAAUGGCACCCAGUGGGCUCAUGGGGCCCCACGGGGCUAUGGUCAAAAGAAGUACACUACAAAGGGAAUACAGUAUAUUUUGGGACACGGGAGGUGGCUACGGCUACAAGCCGCUCUACAUGUUAGCAUCUCAAUGGACAUAAAUGUAUACUAUUAAAGGCCAAACAGGCUGAAACGCUUCUGAUGUAAAGUGAUUUGAAACAGAUUUUAAGAUUGUGGGACCAUUCUUUAGUAUUUAGAUUAUUUUUUUCGAUUAUUUUAGAUGACUAUGGGAGAAAGGUUUCAUUUUUAUAUGUUGUGAAGAUCUUUAUUUAAGAUCAUUGUGAGAUUUUUUGGCAUGUUUUUAGGUGAUCAAGGGGAAAUGUUUCAGUUUUCGGAUGCAUACCUGCGAGUUCCUGGUCCAAGCUGUCGAUGAAUCUUUGCAGGUCCGCAGUGUCUCCCAUUCUGGCUGCAGAAAGAAAAGCGAAAAGGACGGGAAUGUGAGAAAGGAUGAAUAAAGAGAGGUUGAAUGGAAAAUGUCUGCAAACAGACACAGUAGCAGAGCUAAGUUCAGUGGCAUUUCCUCCCUUGGACCCGUGCAGGAAACUUGAUCUAACUCCCAGAAUUACAUAAGGAGGGGAAAAUGCUGUCCCAAAUCGCAGAGUACACUUCUAUGUCGUGCACUAUUUUUGGGGGGCUGUGAGUGCACUAUCUGGCAUAGAACGCCAUUUGGGAUGCACUGAAGGAGUCGGGACAAAACCCCCAAGGUAAAGAUGGAAAAUAAGAUUUACUGCCUCUUAUUAAAAUGGCGGUUGGAGACACGCAACCACUCUCACAAUCACAGCCAUGGACGCACAGACUGGCCAUCCAGGAGAUCCAAAUUAUAAUUUGAACUGUGUUUUAAGGCUUUACAAUGACACUUACAGGGGCCAGAAAAUCUUAGAGCAGAAGAGAGCUUAGCGUUUAGGGCAUCUGACCAGGAAUCAGAAGUUCCACUACUGAACACCCAGGCCAGCAAUGGGAAAAAUCUGUAAUUCUAUCUUAAAUCUGUUAACCGCAAUUUCUCAUGCACAUCGCUCUGCUAAAUGACUAAAAUGGAAUCCUAAAAGUAAACAAAUGUGUAAUUGGGGGUUUUGAUUGGGAAUUUAUAAGAUUUAAUCUUUUCUGUUGCUUCUCAAAGAAUAUAAGUGCUGAAAUUCAUUCAGCAACCGCGGAUUGUCCCUUUCAGUAGUGUCCUGUGGGCCAGUAGAAUGGAGACCAACAGACUGGCGUCCCCUCAAUCAGCUGCAUUCUUUCCAUUAACGUUAUAACUUAACAUUAUACCCUUGUCUCCAUUAGAUGUGGUCCCUUUGAAAAACACACACAGGGGGGACUUUGACGGUUUGCGCGCAUCUCUUUUCAAGCUGAGGUAUACUGCAGCCUUAAGCACCCCACCAGCAUCACACAACCCCCACCUCCAGCCCCACAUGGGGGGCAGAUUGCCUGGCAGGAGACCUGCUCAACUGACACAGUAGCCCAGCUUUGUUGUGUAAACUCAACAGAUCUGUGUUAUGGUAACGCCUUAAUUAUCUGUGUGAAAGUGCAAGUGACCGGUGACUGACAAGGGACUGCCCCCCAAAUCUCUAGCUUGGUCAGAUAGUUCAGAGGCGGUGGUGGAUGCAGAUGUUAGCAGUGAAAGUUCCCCCUACCUUUGGGCGUUAGGACGCCUGCGGUGUGGAGUUCCUCUUCACUAGUGUUCAGACUGUUGCCUAAAGACGCCUCGCUGCCUGAAAGGAGCGGAGGGGGAGGGAGGGAGGGAUGGAGAGAGAGAGAAAUAAGUUUGACCACAAGAACACUUAUGUGGUACAACUGACAGAGACAUUUUGAUUAUAAAUUAAAAAUGGAAAACGUGG
ensembl:lncRNA